rnacentral:lncRNA from 1 species
CCCCCUCCUUCGGACGUCUUCUCUUCACUCAUCCGCACGAAGCAGCCUCAUCCAAUCUCUCUCCUCUUCGCUUCAUUUUGUGCGACGACUGAAGCUGAAGAAGACCGAGCGAAAUUCCACCGCCAGCAGUUGCAACUCCUUUCAUCCGCGCGUCCCUCAGCCUCCGCGCAUCCGACUUGCUCCGUGGGUCAAACUCCAGCAACAAGCUUCGGUUUGUUGACCGAAGACCCCACGACGCCAACGAAGAAGCCCAGCAACCUUCUUCUUCAGCCACGCGGCCAAGCUGCAGCUUCCACGGUCAACUCCAGCAAGAACCGUCCCACUUUGUUGAUCUCGUGAAGCUGCCACGUCGGUGCUAAUGCACUCCAUGAAGACCCCAAGCUGCUCCCUCGUUCGCGCCUUCUGCCCACGAAGACCGAAGCCAGUGAAGCUGCUUCUUCACGCGUCCACGCCAGCUGUUCCCUCUCCUUCGCGUGUCCAGCAGUAGGCGUCCGCGAAGCCGCAGAGUCAACCUUCACUCGUGAAGCCUCCACCGUUGACCCAUCAAUUUCGUUGAAGCUGCCCGCACGUGUCACCAGCUCGGCCAGCAGUCCAGCGACAUCGUUCUCCAC